rnacentral:rRNA from 1 species
AGAUUGAACGCUGGCGGCAUGCCUUACACAUGCAAGUCGAACGGCAGCACGGGGGCAACCCUGGUGGCGAGUGGCGAACGGGUGAGUAAUACAUCGGAACGUGUCCAGUUGUGGGGGAUAACCAGUCGAAAGAUUGGCUAAUACCGCAUGCGCCCGAAAGGGGAAAGCGGGGGACCUGUGAGGGCCUCGCGCGGUUGGAGCGGCCGAUGUCCGAUUAGCUAGUUGGUGAGGUAACGGCUCACCAAGGCGACGAUCGGUAGCUGGUCUGAGAGGACGACCAGCCACACUGGGACUGAGACACGGCCCAGACUCCUACGGGAGCAGCAGUGGGGAAUUUGGACAAGUGGGGGCAACCCUGAUCCAGCCAUGCCGCGUGUGUGAUGAAGGCCUUCGGGUUGUAAGCACUUUCGGACGGAACGAAGUCGCGCGGGACGAAGUACGUCCCGCGUGGAUCGGACGGUACCGUAAGAAGAA